rnacentral:tRNA from 1 species
GGUCGCAUAGCUCAGCUGGGAGAGCACCUGCCUUACAAGCAGGGGGUCACAGGUUCGAUUCCUGUUGCGACCACCA